CUGAACCAGCCAAGUAGCGUGAAGGAUGACUGCCCUAUGGGUUAUAAACUUCUUUUAUAAAGGAAUAAAGUCGGGUAUGUAUACCCGUUUACAUGUACUUUAUGAAUAAGAAUCGGCUAACUCCGUGCCAACAGCCGCAAUAAUACGGAGGAUCCGAGCGUUAUCCGGAUUUAUUGGGUUUAAAGGGAGCGUAGAUGGAUGUUUAAGUCAGUUGUGAAAGUUUGCGG
rnacentral:rRNA from 1 species